CGGGGCGCUGAAGAGGGCAUUCGGGCGCAUCGGUGACGACACGGCGGCGCGGCUGGAGGCGAAGCUGAAGAGGCAGCGGAUGGCGGAGACCAGGGCGAGCGGAAAGCUUGACCGGCUGAGGUCGAGAGUCGCCAAGGCGCUUCAGGGAUUUAACAAGUGAAAUGGUAUAGGGACAUUCUGUUGGCUGUCAUCGUUUCAUGCUACUUCAAGUUGUUUCUUUUCACAAUGAUGGUUUGGGAGUUUCCAUCAUCUGUUAUAUUCAUCGUUGAAAUGUUUGUUUUCUAGUCAGUGGGAUGCAUAUAUACAUUAGUAACAGUCUUGUUGUUCCGCAGUUUCCAAAAGCCCAUUGUUUCGUGGUCUGCUUACUAGCGCAUGCAGCAAAAUACUUGACCCAGCGAUGGAUCCUUGGAACGACAUGAGCCUACUCGUCCACAUCAUCCUCGAGCUUCAAGCACGGCCCUAAUCUUCGGAUGGACUGUUCUGGUGCUUCUAGAGACGUUUAGGUAUAUUGUGCCCUGAUUGAUGAGCCUUGCCAUUUCCUACCCAGAAAAAAAACCAAAUUAGAGUUGCUUAAUGAUUCAAACAAAGCUGCUUAAUCACGCAACUGAUUUAAUAGUAGGGCUUUAUAUAACGAGAGGGGAGACCAUAUGUCUCUACCAAGAUACUUUUCGUGUACUCAUGUUACAGUGGUUUGGACUUCAUGCUCUAACAAUAUUAUAAAGU